rnacentral:sRNA from 1 species
GGAGAAGAGUUCUGAGCCCAGGAGCACGGAAAGGCCAGUGCCACAGUGAGCACUUGCUGUCUGCAUCUAUGGAGCUGUCAGGCUCCUCUGGGGUGUCUGCCCAGCCAGAGUCUGCAGUCCCGCCUCUGUGGGUGCAGGGGGUGGUGGGCUGCCCAGGUUCCCAGCUCAUUUCUAUUCUCACAGCCUGGGCAGCCAGUACCGGAGCGUGCGGCAGAAGGCAGCUGGGAGCAAACGCACGCUGCAGCAGCGGUAUGAGGUGCUGAAGACUGAGAAUCCCAGAGAUGCCUCUGACCUACAGGGGCGGCAGCUGCUGGCUGGCUUGGACAAGGUGGCCAGCGACCUGGCCCGGCAGGAGAAGGCCAUCACAGGGAUCCUGCGGCCACCACUGGAGCAAGGCCGGGCUGUGCAGGACAGUGCCGAGCGGGCCAAGGACCUCAAGGUACCUGCGGGUCAGGAGCACAGGUGGGGCUGGGGGAGCCCUGCACUGGCCCCCAGGGGCCCCUAUUUGAGGUCUUUUCCCCAUGGAGUCUUGGGACAUUCACUGCAGGUGUCUGACAGGGACAGCCUGCUGCAUGUAACCGGGUCCCGAGUCAUGGAGGUGGCAGGGCUGCUGUCAUUACUUCCCCAGGAGAAAGCUGGCAAGACUUGCAUUGUUCCUGCACAGCUUGUCGAUCUGACACCUGGCAUGGCACAUGGGCUGUGGAAUUCCCCAGGACUGGGUCACCGGCUGGCUUGACCGCAAACACGUUAGCGUUUAUAUUUAUAAACUCCAGGCCUCAGUGUCUUCAGUAGGAUGGGUUGGCCCUGCUCGCAGGGCAGUGGCAAGGACAGGGUGAGCUGAUGCCAGGGGGGACGUGGUGGGGCCACCACCCCCCACCUCCUUUCCUAUACAAAG